GCAAGUCGAACGAGAAAGCUCUUCGGAGUGAGUAGAGUGGCGCACGGGUGAGUAACACGUGGGUGACCUACCCUUUAGUGGGGAACAACAGAGAGAAAUUUCUGCUAAUACCGCAUAAGUUGUACAAUUUUGGAAGUAGUACAAGAAAGUGGGCUUCGGCUCACGCUGAAGGAUGGGCCCGCGGGACAUUAGCUUGAUGGUGGGGUAAAGGCCUACCAUGGCUACGAUGUCUAGCUGGUCUGAGAGGAUGAUC
rnacentral:rRNA from 1 species